GAUGAACGCUGGCGGCGUGCCUAAUACAUGCAAGUCGAGCGAACGGGCGAGAAGCUUGCUUCUCUGAUGUUAGCGGCGGACGGGUGAGUAACACGUGGAUAACCUACCUAUAAGACUGGGAUAACUUCGGGAAACCGGAGCUAAUACCGGAUGAUAUUUUGAACCGCAUGGUUCAAAAGUGAAAGACGGUCUUGCUGUCACUUAUAGAUGGAUCCGCGCUGCAUUAGCUAGUUGGUAAGGUAACGGCUUACCAAGGCAACGAUGCAUAGCCGACCUGAGAGGGUGAUCGGCCACACUGGAACUGAGACACGGUCCAGACUCCUACGGGAGGCAGCAGUAGGGAAUCUUCCGCAAUGGGCGAAAGCCUGACGGAGCAACGCCGCGUGAGUGAUGAAGGUCUUCGGAUCGUAAAACUCUGUUAUUAGGGAAGAACAUAUGUGUAAGUAACUGUGCACAUCUUGACGGAACCUAAUCAGAAAGCCACGGCUAACUACGUG
rnacentral:rRNA from 1 species